GCUCUUGUAGCUCAGAGGUAAAGUGUGUGCUCAGCAUGUACAAAGCCCUGGGUUCGAUCCCCAAUAUCA
rnacentral:tRNA from 1 species